CGAACCGUCCAAACGUUAUUCGGAAUUAUUGGGCUUAAAGGGUAUGUAGGCGGCGCUGUUAGUCGGGUGUGAAAUCCCUCGGCUCAACCGAGGAAUUGCGCCCGAAACUGCAGUGCUUGAGGGAGACAGAGGUAAGCGGAACUGAUGGUGGAGCGGUGAAAUGCGUUGAUAUCAUCAGGAACACCGGUGGACGAAAGCGGCUUACGUGGGUCUCUUCUGACGCUGAGAUAACGAAAGCGUAGGGGAGCGGAAGGGGAUUAGACUACCCCCGUAGUCCUAGCUAGUAAACGAUGAGCACUUGGGUCGGGGACUCCCCUCAUUAGGUUCUCGGCCGUAGACGAAAGUGUCAAGUGCUCCGCCUGGGGAGUAUGGUCGCAAGGCUG
rnacentral:rRNA from 1 species